UCCACCGAUCACUACUGAUUAACAGAUGCUCAUCAUGAUCAGUGACCAAUCACAUCACUUCUUUCAGAGUCUCUUGAUGAUUGGUCACUGCAUCUGUUUACUCAGUCCCCUACACACAACAAAGUGGGUAGUUGUGCUGUCUCCUUGUCUCAUUGGUAAACCCAUGUGACAUUUUACAAAAAUGGGUAAUGGAAAUAGGGAAUUGGUCAACAAAGAUGAAAGCACAACAGAGAAACAGGGAUAAUACUGGAAGUGACAUCCAAAUCAUGUUUAAGUGAAAUUAGAGAAGAAAUAGCUAACCAAGGGAAUGUUGACACUCAGUUUAUGGAACUUCUUGGCAUAGAUGCAGAAAGGGGUUAUAAAGAAAGGGACAAAGAUGUCACAGAAGUGACAUCAGCCAAAAACUUCACAAAAUUGUGAAAUGAAACAAACUCUCAGAACUAUUUUAUGACAUUAAAAGCUCAAAGGAUUAAAAUAUUGAAAGCUGUUCUAGACUUAAAAAGAAAUAUAACAAUGCUGCAAGGAGGGCAUAGGGAAGAUUUUCAUUCUGUAGCAUUUCAUUCUCAUGACAGGAAGGCUAGCAGUGUUCAAACUACCCUUGGUAAGUUGUUUACAAAAAAGUAGAAUAAUUCUCAUUGUUUCUGUUGUUUUAAAUUAUUGUGUACUAUAUAAAUAUUAGUUUUACUCUUUUUUAAUUUCCCUAAAUGGUAAAGGUCUUAAUGUUUUAACAAAAAUUUUUAAAGUUUGUGAGACAAUCAUAAUUUCCCCCACUGAUUAUCAAGAUUGCUUUGCGUGAUUUAACCUUGCUUUGCUUGCAUGGUCAUGUUUGUGGUCUGCGCCAAUGUGCGAGGUGAGGGCUGCUGUAUCACCAAGUAGUAAGUAUGUGUAAUUUCUGUUGGAGCAAGACAUAGGAAUUUUGCAGAAUUCAUAUUACCUUCCCCUGUUGAAACAUUAUCAAUUAUUUUUGGGUAUUGUCCUGUGGUUAUUUUUUUCUGGGAGUACUAAUAAUGACAGUAGAUCAAGCUCAUUUUUUUUUUUCUGUGAGAGAUAAAUGUUAAUCUUUAUUGCAAACAAAAGUUUUUUUUUUUAUUAAGGUAUCAUUGAUAUAUAAUCUUAUGAAGGUUUCACAUGAGCAACGUUGUGGUUACAACAUUCACCCAUAUUAUCAAGUCCCCCUCACACCCCAUUGCAGUCACUGUCCAUCAGCAUAUUAAGAUGCUAUGGCAGCUCAUUUCUUUUUGAAGAAGGGAAGAUUGUCUCUGAUAAAUGGCCAAGAAGCUCCCUUCUGCUGGUGCAGGAUUUCAUAAGGGUCUUCUGUCACUGAGCACUCUGUAUGUUUAUGUGCAUAUCCCGCUUCCACAUCAGUGGACAGUUUGUGGUGGUUUUCAAAUGAUGUAAAUACCCUGUUGAGAAAUAUUUUCACUACUGGGAAAUUACUUACUGUCUUUCCUCCCUGCCAUCUGCUUUUAGCCAUGAAAGAACCUGGGAAAUUUGAUUUGGUGUAUCACAACGAAAACGGCACUGAGGUAGUGGAGUACGCUGUGACACAGGAGAAGAGGAUCACUGUUUUUUGGAGAGAGUUGAUUGAUCCAAGACUGAUUGUUGACUCUCCGAAUAACCCAUCAAGUUCAGAGCUUGCCUUAGUAUGACCUCUCCACCUGAUAGUUUAUAAACGUCUUGUUUGUAAAAGUGACUGUAACCUGAACUUUAAAAAAAAAAGAUUUGAAAGGUG